rnacentral:rRNA from 1 species
CGGACCGGCGGACGGGUGCGUAACGCGUAUGCAACCUGCCUGACACAGGGGGAUAAUCCGAAGAAAUUUGGUCUAAUACCCCAUAAUACCGAUAUAGGCAUCUAUGUUGGUUGAAAGCUUUGGUGGUGUCAGAUGGGGCAUGCGUUGUAUUAGCUAGUUGGUGAGGUAACGGCUCACCAAGGCGACGAUACAUAGGGGGACUGAGAGGUUAAACCCCCCCACACUGGUACUGAGACACGGACCAGACUCCUACGGGAGGCAGCAUGC